AUUGAACGCUGGCGGAAUGCUUUACACAUGCAAGUCGAACGGUAGAGGGGGCAACCCCUCGAGAGUGGCGAACGGGUGAGUAAUAUAUCGGAACGUGCCCAGUCGUGGGGGAUAACGUAGCGAAAGUUACGCUAAUACCGCAUACGAUCUACGGAUGAAAGCGGGGGAUCGCAAGACCUCGCGCGAUUGGAGCGGCCGAUAUCAGAUUAGGUAGUUGGUGGGGUAAAGGCUCACCAAGCCAACGAUCUGUAGCUGGUCUGAGAGGACGGCCAGCCACACUGGAACUGAGACACGGCCCAGACUCCUACGGGAGGCAGCAGUGGGGAAUUUUGGACAAUGGACGCAAGUCUGAUCCAGCCAUUCCGCGUGCAGGAUGAAGGCCCUCGGGUUGUAAACUGCUUUUGUACGGAACGAAAAGGUUUCCAUUAAUACUGGGAGCUCAUGACGGUACCGUAAGAAUAAGCACCGGCUAACUACGUGCCAGCCGCCGCAGUAA
rnacentral:rRNA from 1 species